ensembl:lincRNA
CCUUUCUUCCUCCCGGUCUUCCAGUCGAUCCAUCUACCCUGCUGUUGGUGCCCCCCUCCCACCCCAGGCCCCAUAUUUCCACUCUUCUUUUCGUUUUGUUAUGCCCUGGUCUGUUCUGUGUUCUUGCUCUUCACAAGCCUAGACUGCAUACAAAAAAAUAAAUAAUUUUAAAAGGCCAUGGUGAAAAAUUACGUGCAUUCAGAAAGAGCAUCAUCUGAACAGGUUACAUGAUGAUAUCGUGUAUGAUUUUCGCAUCAUCACUUGUACACGUGCUUCAAGAUAAAAAACAAACAAACAAACUUCUUAUCACUCGUCUUUUGGAAAUUAAUAUUUUAAUAAGGAAAGCUCACUUGUCAACACUUCAGACGACUCCAAAUUACAGUCAAUGUCUAUUAAUCUUCCAUGGGUACUCUGUGAAUAAAUACUUCUGGGGGUUCCAAAGGUAAAGUUGCUCAAUCUUAGAUAUUGUGUUAGGCAAACCCUGUCUUGAGGACAAGGUUCACCCAGUUAAAAAAAAAAAAUUGAUAUUCUGUCCUCAUUUCUCUGCUUGCUUUUAUGCUUUGAAUUUGCAUAUUGGAAAAUGUCACCAUGUUGAUAAGAACAUUCAAAGUAAAUCGUCGAGAGGGAAGAGGCAGAGGUGGGUGCUUUAUGUCAGGGUAAUAAAGGUGUGACAUGUCUUGUAUAAAAGAGACCAAACUCUGAUAACCACAGCUGGCUUCAUCCAGUCACCACUACUUCGUCCCUCGUCUGGUUCUCGAAAACUUCAGUAGCAAUUGGAGUCAUGGAGAGAUCAGGGAGAAGCCUCGUUCUCCUUGUCAUUGCACUGCUGUGUUCUGGUCAUCUGGUCCUUGGAAGCCAUUUUCGUGGUGGGACCAUCAGCUGGGAAUACAUUGGUGGAAAGAAGGUGCAUUUUGACUACAUGGUCGGAUGGCGCAGAAACUCGGGCGAAGGUGGAGGUUGUAAUGAACAGGAUGUGACGUCUCAGAAAGUACUAAUAGGUAGCGGCAAAUGGGGAUGUGUGCAAGGUUGCAAUUCACAAGAGUCCCUGAAAUACCGAUGUAUCGGCUACAACAAGCCGAGCAACUGGAUGGUUGGAUCUGGCACCUUUGAAAUGAACAUGCCAAGUGUCCAAGCCAGUGUUGUUGAGUAUACUGGGUGUUGCUUCAUCACAUCAUCCGUGAUGACUCAAACAAAGAUUCAUACCUAUUCCGGUGCCAGUUGGAGAUUAAGAACAACCAUUGAUAUCAGCAUCCGUCAGGACAUCGGGAAACCCAACUCCUCUCCAGUAACCACUUCAAAACCACUGAUUAAAGUGAAGUCUGGAUGUCCAUCUUCCAUCCCACUGGCGGUCUCGGACCCUGACGGGGACGACGUUCGGUGUCGGAUGGCUGUCGGACAAGAGUGCGGUCAAGUUUGUGGAAUUGUACCUUAUGGUAGUUUGGAUGAGACAACAUGUAUCUUGGACUUCAACCCUCCUCAAAAGACGAAUGGCCUUUGGGUGCUCGCCCUCACUCUAGAGGACUUUGCUAUGGUGAAUGGUCAAAGGACUGGACCUUUCUCGUCCAUACCACUACAGGUUAUCCCCCCCCCCCCCCCCCCCCCCCCCCCCCCCCCCCCCCCCCCCCCCCCCCCCCCCCCCCCCCCCCCCCCCCCCCCCCCCCCCCCCC